rnacentral:rRNA from 1 species
UACGAAGGGGGCUAGCGUUGCUCGGAAUCACUGGGCGUAAAGGGUGCGUAGGCGGGUCUUUAAGUCAGGGGGGAAAUCCUGGAGCUCAACUCCAGAACUGCCUUUGAUACUGAGGAUCUUGAGUUCGGGAGAGGUGAGUGGAACUGCGAGUGUAGAGGUGAAAUUCGUAGAUAUUAGGAAGAACACCAGUGGCGAAGGCGGCUCACUGGCCCGGUACUGACGCUGAGGCGCGAAAGCGUGGGGAGCAAACAGG